ACGCCACAAUUUGCCAAUGGAUUGUAGAUGCUUGGGCUAACAUGUCUGCUGGCACUGUUGUUCGAGCUUUCGCAAAAGCCGGCAUCGUUUCCGAGGAGCCGCACGGCACGGAAAGUGACUCUGACGGUGAAGAAAGUGAACCUGGCAUGUUUGAUGGAGAUUUAGCGCAGCUGUUCAAUUCAGACACAGAGGAUGAGGACUUCCAUGGGUUUGAUUGAUGAUAAAAAUAAAUACAUCACAAAAUAAAGCCACAUUCCCAUGCUCUGAGAUUCUUAUGCACCUCCUCAACAAUACAUGGUAAGUUCAUGUUUGCCUUAUUAUUAUUAUUAUUAUGUUAUUUAUUUUUUUUGGAUGAUGCAGAAGUUUAAUCUCCUUGACGUUUUCUAAUGCAUAUUUCAUUUUUUAUCAGUGACGUGUAUGUGGCAGUGCAAGCAUUGUGUUACCAGAGAGAGCAGCAGGUACAAAUUACUUCAACAUUAUAAACUACAUCAUC
ensembl:lncRNA